UCCCUGGUGGCUCAGCGGGUUAAGGAUCUGGCAUUGUCAUUUCCAUGGCUCGGGUUCAAUCCCUGGCCAGGGAA
rnacentral:tRNA from 1 species